UACGUAGGGUGCAAGCGUUGUCCGGAAUUAUUGGGCGUAAAGAGCUCGUAGGCGGUCUGUCGCGUCUGCUGUGAAAACUCGGGGCUUAACCCCGGGCCUGCAGUGGGUACGGGCAGACUAGAGUGCGGUAGGGGAGAUUGGAAUUCCUGGUGUAGCGGUGGAAUGCGCAGAUAUCAGGAGGAACACCGAUGGCGAAGGCAGGUCUCUGGGCAUUAACUGACGCUGAGGAGCGAAAGCAUGGGGAGCGAACAGG
rnacentral:rRNA from 1 species